rnacentral:rRNA from 1 species
AUGAACGCUAGCUACAGGCUUAACACAUGCAAGUCGAGGGGCAGCAUGGUCUUAGCUUGCUAAGGCCGAUGGCGACCGGCGCACGGGUGAGUAACACGUAUCCAACCUGCCGUCUACUCUUGGACAGCCUUCUGAAAGGAAGAUUAAUACAAGAUGGCAUCAUGAGUCCGCAUGUUCACAUGAUUAAAGGUAUUCCGGUAGACGAUGGGGAUGCGUUCCAUUAGAUAGUAGGCGGGGUAACGGCCCACCUAGUCUUCGAUGGAUAGGGGUUCUGAGAGGAAGGUCCCCCACAUUGGGACUGAGACACGGUCCAAACUCCUACGGGAGGCAGCAGUGAGGAAUAUUGGUCAAUGGGCGAGAGCCAGAACCAGCCAAGUAGCGUGAAGGAUGACUGCCCUAUGGGUUGUAAACUUCUUUUAUAAAGGAAUAAAGUCGGGUAUGGAUACCCGUUUGCAUGUACUUUAUGAAUAAGGAUCGGCUAACUCCGUGCCAGCAGCCGCGGUAAUACGGAGGAUCCGAGCGUUAUCCGGAUUUAUUGGGUUUAAAGGGAGCGUAGAUGGAUGUUUAAGUCAGUUGUGAAAGUUUGCGGCUCAACCGUAAAAUUGCAGUUGAUACUGGAUAUCUUGAGUGCAGUUGAGGCAGGCGGAAUUCGUGGUGUAGCGGUGAAAUGCUUAGAUAUCACGAAGAACUCCGAUUGCGAAGGCAGCCUGCUAAGCUGCAACUGACAUUGAGGCUCGAAAGUGUGGGUAUCAAACAGGAUUAGAUACCCUGGUAGUCCACACGGUAAACGAUGAAUACUCGCUGUUUGCGAUAUACUGCAAGCGGCCAAGCGAAAGCGUUAAGUAUUCCACCUGGGGAGUACGCCGGCAACGGUGAAACUCAAAGGAAUUGACGGGGGCCCGCACAAGCGGAGGAACAUGUGGUUUAAUUCGAUGAUACGCGAGGAACCUUACCCGGGCUUAAAUUGCAGAUGAAUUACGGUGAAAGCCGUAAGCCGCAAGGCAUCUGUGAAGGUGCUGCAUGGUUGUCGUCAGCUCGUGCCGUGAGGUGUCGGCUUAAGUGCCAUAACGAGCGCAACCCUUGUUGUCAGUUACUAACAGGUUCCGCUGAGGACUCUGACAAGACUGCCAUCGUAAGAUGUGAGGAAGGUGGGGAUGACGUCAAAUCAGCACGGCCCUUACGUCCGGGGCUACACACGUGUUACAAUGGGGGGUACAGAGGGCCGCUACCACGCGAGUGGAUGCCAAUCCCCAAAACCUCUCUCAGUUCGGACUGGAGUCUGCAACCCGACUCCACGAAGCUGGAUUCGCUAGUAAUCGCGCAUCAGCCACGGCGCGGUGAAUACGUUCCCGGGCCUUGUACACACCGCCCGUCAAGCCAUGGGAGCCGGGGGUACCUGAAGUGCGUAACCGCGAGGAGCGCCCUAGGGUAAAACUGGUGACUGGGGCU